rnacentral:rRNA from 1 species
AUAGCGUAUAUUAAAGUUGUUGCAGUUAAAAAGCUCGUAGUUGAAUUUCUGGCCAGCGCUGUUCUUGGCUCUCUGAGUCGGCUCAGUGUUUGGUCAUCCGUAUGGGAAGCUAGCUCGGCCUUCACUGGUCGGCUAGUGGAUCAUACACUUUACUUUGAAAAAAUUAGAGUGUUUCAGGCAGGCAAUUGCUUGGAUACUUCAGCAUGGAAUAAUGGAAUAGGACUUUGACCUAUUUGUUGGUUUCUGAGGUCAAGGUAAUGAUUAAUAGGGACAGUUGGGGGCAUUCGUAUUUAAUUGUCAGAGGUGAAAUUCUUGGAUUUAUUAAAGACGAACUUAUG